rnacentral:rRNA from 1 species
UACGUAGGGUGCGAGCGUUGUCCGGAAUUAUUGGGCGUAAAGAGCUCGUAGGCGGUCUGUCGCGUCGGCUGUGAAAACUCGGGGCUCAACCCCGAGCCUGCAGUCGAUACGGGCAGACUAGAGUGUGGUAGGGGAGACUGGAAUUCCUGGUGUAGCGGUGAAAUGCGCAGAUAUCAGGAGGAACACCGAUGGCGAAGGCAGGUCUCUGGGCCACUACUGACGCUGAGAAGCGAAAGCAUGGGGAGCGAACAGG